AGCCUAAACCUUCACCGGCAUGGCUGAAAAUACUAUUCAGGGCAGUAAGCUCUUCGUCAGAACCUGAAUAGUCGUGUGGGGAAACCCACAUGGGGGUCCAAAAGACCUC
rnacentral:sRNA from 1 species